UGUCUAUCUUUGUAGCACCCGCAUCACAAGGGUCGCCUAGAUCCCCGAGUCACGUAAAUUGGAACCUUUUUGGCAACGUUGAAUGAUUGUGUGAUGUUCAGAAGUUAGCUUCCAGGUCUGUGUAGCGUGGUGACCAGCAUUGGAUGCAGGUACAUUAUUUGUCGUGACACGUUAGCCAUGUUAGCCGGCGUCUCUCGUUUUCAGAUUGGAGUCGCUUGGCGCUCUAUCCUGUGUCAUAAAUAUAAGCUAAGAAUGCGUGUUGUUCGCGUGGCAACCACGUCGGUCGGCAGCGAGCUCCAGUUGCGUCAGCGUUAAGUGAAAUUUCUACGCCUUACCGACAGGAUCACGACGCCCGACAGCGAGACACUGCGGCUUCCGUGACGUUGUUUGUUGCCACCUCGGGACCGCCUUCGAUGCAUGGGCAGAAUGAGACGCUAAACACACCGUAGUGCAGUAGAUUGAGCCUUUGUAAGGAGGCUUGCCCCGGAACUAAUGGAACUGCCAUGCCGACCGUCUUCCGGAAGUCCAGGAUACGUCGAUGUCGAGACCGGAUCGGUGAAGGCUCUGUGUGAGCCGCCGUUUCUGACUUCCAAUUCGUGGAAUUUAUUUAGAAUAUGGUGUUGAACACCGCGUGAUGUUUCGUUGUCGUACGUUUUUAUUUAAAUUUUAUUAUUUUCUAAAACGACAAUGUGCCUCGGGUAGAAAGUUAUUUCUCAAAUAUUUUGAGUUUUCAUGUCGUUGCGCGUGACUAACGAAAAGGAGAGGAAGCAACCCUCAACAGCUGGUUUUUGAUGGAUAGUUACGGUGGUGCUGUGAAGACACUUUCAAAGGCUUAAAUUGAGAGGAUGAAAUCCUAAACGCUUUGGAGGAUAAAAUCUAUAAAAUCACAUCAAUCAUACUCUCUAGCUCAUCCCUAAAAGUGGGGCAUAUAUAAAUGAUGUCUCUAGUAGACCUACUUCUACUAUGCAAACUACUAGAGGCAUGGCACGUGUGCCAGGGUGGCCAGUAAGGGUAUGCACUAACUUUCCCUGUUUGUUAUAUUGGUCUCGCUGGUCAGCUGAGGAUAUUGCUUGUUUUUGUGCUUUUCAUGUAGACUGCAAAUUAAGUCACAUUUUUCUUUGCCACUUGAAACCUAAUAAAUUCUGAAUUUGUACUUGCAGGUCGAUUUCUUCAGUAUUUUUUCCAAAGAAAAUCUGGCUAACCCUGCAUUGCUGUCUCAAAGAACAGCUCCCGCCUGUCUAGCCGACUCUGGCUAGCUUUGGUUCUUCGCACAGCGCCCUUAUUCGUACUACUCACGCCAAGUCAUUGGGCCACAUUUGAAGUUGCUGGGUGUUGACCAAUUGGUAGUUUAGAUAGUUUAUUUACUUUUGUUUACUCAACUGCCAGGGUGCAGCAGCCAUGUUAUGGCUUUUCUUGCUCUCUCUACAGAGUUGCAUCUCUUCUGAUCGGUUUUGUAUCGUAAUCGGUCUUUUCUUUAUGUUCACAGGUAUGUUCAUUCUGCCCCUAACCCUUAACCCUUUAAGUGCCGGGGUGUUUUUCCGUAUGCCAAACACAAAUUUUGGUCUUGGUAGCACUGUAGCAUGCUUUGUCAAGAAUAUUUAUUUAUCAAAGAUGCAUAGCUCUAUGGGCAAAAAUUCUGCAUGCCGUCAAACUAGGAGAAUUUUUCUAGUAUAUUGUAUUGCUCGGGGCAUCGCACCUUGACUUCGCCCCCUGGGCCGGUUUUCUCGAAGUGAUGGUAAACCCAUUUUGGUAAACCACGGUGCCUAGGAAGGAAAA